UACGGGGGGGGGCAAGCGUUGUUCGGAUUUACUGGGCGUAAGGGGCUCGUAGGUGGCCAACUAAGUCAGUCGUGAAAUCCCUCAGCUUAACUGGGGAACUGCGUCUGAUACUGGAUGGCUUGAGAUUGGGAGAGGGAUGCGGAAUUCCAGGUGUAGCGGUGAAAUGCGUAGAUAUCUGGAGGAACACCGGUGGCGAAGGCGGCAUCCUGACCAACACUGACACUGAGGAGCGAAAGCCAGGGGAGCAAACGGG
rnacentral:rRNA from 1 species